GUGUCCAUAAUUGUUGAACAGACAGCUAUCUGGACUUAUCGAAGAAAUAGAACAUGAACUCUCCUCGUCACAAUUAUUUUUAAUAAUAUUCAUCUGUUCAUCUUUCAAACUACACUGAUCAUAUUCUGAACAUGAUGCUGUGGUUUUCUUUACUGCCAGAUUGACUAUUGAAAUGGUUUUGUUGUCAGAACAGCUGAUCGUUCUUGAGUCACUUAUAAAAAUUCCCUCUUGAAAACCU
rnacentral:lncRNA from 1 species